rnacentral:rRNA from 1 species
UACGUAGGGUGCGAGCGUUAAUCGGAAUUACUGGGCGUAAAGAGUGCGUAGGCGGUCCCGCAAGUCCGCUGUGAAAUCCCCGGGCUUAACCUGGGAAUGGCAUUUGAGACUGCAUGGCUAGAGUGUGUCAGAGGGGGGUAGAAUUCCACGUGUAGCAGUGAAAUGCGUAGAGAUGUGGAGGAAUACCGAUGGCGAAGGCAGCCCCCUGGGAUAACACUGACGCUCAUGCACGAAAGCGUGGGGAGCAAACAGG